GACGAACGCUGGCGGCGUGCUUAACACAUGCAAGUCGAACGGAAAGGCCCUGCUUUUGUGGGGUGCUCGAGUGGCGAACGGGUGAGUAACACGUGAGUAACCUGCCCUUGACUUUGGGAUAACUUCAGGAAACUGGGGCUAAUACCGGAUAGGAGCUCCUGCUGCAUGGUGGGGGUUGAAAGUUUCGGCGGUUGGGGAUGGACUCGCGGCUUAUCAGCUUGUUGGUGGGGUAGUGGCUUACCAAGGCUUUGACGGGUAGCCGGCCUGAGAGGGUGACCGGCCACAUUGGGACUGAGAUACGGCCCAGACUCCUACGGGAGGCAGCAGUGGGGAAUAUUGCACAAUGGGCGGAAGCCUGAUGCAGCAACGCCGCGUGCGGGAUGACGGCCUUCGGGUUGUAAACCGCUUUCGCCUGUGACGAAGCGCGAGUGACGGUAAUGGGUAAAGAAGCACCGGCUAACUACGUG
rnacentral:rRNA from 1 species